AUCGGCAACCAUACCACGUUGAAAACACCGGUUGUCGUCGGAUCACUGAAGUUAAGCAACUUUGCGCCCAGUUAAUUGGUAUACCAGGUGUCGCCGACC
rnacentral:rRNA from 1 species